rnacentral:misc_RNA from 1 species
AAAUCACAAAACCUCCCUUGACUUUCCUCAAAAUAUACAUUUGGAUCCUCACCUUUUUUUUUUUUCCAGCUUUCAAAGUGAAUUAAAUGGCCCUUAACUUUUUUGUUCAUUUACAUUUAAUAAUUUUUUCAAAACAAUACACACUUUAGUCUCUCACUUUUUAACUGAAACAAAUUUUGGACCUUGAAAUUUUAAACAGGACAACCUUUAGUAUCUAAAUAAAUGGAUGGAAAUGCAUAACAUCAGGAACUAAAUAGUUGUUCCAUUUAAAAACUCAAGGAUAAAUUGUCCAUUGCUUUAAGGAGAGGACAAAAGUUAUAUUUCAGCUCACUUUCAGAAAAGCAAGACUCAGCUGUGUAUUUUACCAAAAGUCAAUUAUUGUACACAAUACAAUAAGAGAAGAAAACCAUUGUUUUCUAAUAGGAUAUUGCAUGCACAUCCGGGAAAAGUUUGCAUAUUGAGGCAUGCUUGACCUUUUACCAUGAGAAAAAGAAAAGUGACUCUACAUAUGGAAAGGGAAAAAAAAUUAACAUUAAAAAUCAAUUAAUCAUAUCUAGUUUUCAAGGAUUUGAAUCCAAUGUGAUAAAUUUCAACAAUUAUCCCUGAACUUAUACGAUUAUAACUCUCCAGUCCCUCAAUUUAAAAAUGUAACAUAAA